rnacentral:tRNA from 1 species
ACUAGUUUGCUCGAGUGGUUAAGGGUGAAAAUUUAAGAUCUUCUGCACAUAAGUGUGCAUGGGUUCGAACCCCAUAGCUAGCA